CUUUGGAGAAGCUGUAUGGAAUCGGAUGGUUCCCCGUACAGUGCCGAAGGUGAAAGCGCAUCGCGUGAAUCUCUCAGGCAAAAGGACAAAGGU
rnacentral:ncRNA from 1 species